CCUACGGGAGGCAGCAGUGAGGAAUAUUGGUCAAUGGACGAGAGUCUGAACCAGCCAAGUAGCGUGAAGGAUGACUGCCCUAUGGGUUGUAAACUUCUUUUAUAUGGGAAUAAAACGUUCCACGUGUGGGAUUUUGUAUGUACCAUAUGAAUAAGGAUCGGCUAACUCCGUGCCAGCAGCCGCGGUGAUACGGAGGAUCCGAGCGUUAUCCGGAUUUAUUGGGUUUAAAGGGAGCGUAGGUGGAUUGUUAAGUCAGUUGUGAAAGUUUGCGGCUCAACCGUAAAAUUGCAGUUGAAACUGGCAGUCUUGAGUACAGUAGAGGUGGGCGGAAUUCGUGGUGUAGCGGUGAAAUGCUUAGAUAUCACGAAGAACUCCGAUUGCGAAGGCAGUUCACUGGACUGCAACUGACACUUAGGCUCGAAAGUGUGGGUAUCAAACAGGAUUAGAUACCCCUGUAGUC
rnacentral:rRNA from 1 species